CCUACGGGUGGCAGCAGUGGGGAAUAUUGCACAAUGGGGGAAACCCUGAUGCAGCGACGCCGCGUGAAGGAAGAAGUAUUUCGGUAUGUAAACUUCUAUCAGCAGGGAAGAAAAUGCCGGUGCCUGACUAAGAAGCCCCGGCUAACUACGUGCCAGCAGCCGCGGUAAUACGUAGGGGGCAAGCGUUAUCCGGAUUUACUGGGUGUAAAGGGAGCGUAGGCGGUUUAGCAAGUCAGAAGUGAAAGCCCGGGGCUCAACUCCGGGACUGCUUUUGAAACUGUUGGACUAGAGUGCAGGAGAGGUAAGUGGAAUUCCUGGUGUAGCGGUGAAAUGCGUAGAUAUUAGGAGGAACACCAGUGGCGAAGGCGGCUUACUGGACUGUAAAUGACGCUGAGGCUCGAAAGCGUGGGGAGCAAACAGGAUUAGAUACCCGUGUAGUC
rnacentral:rRNA from 1 species